GGUUGCAUUGAUAUAGAGAACUAAUAUGGAAUUGAGGAGAGUUGUUGACCUAAAAAUUAUGCUAAAUAGGAUUACACUGAGGCC